CCCUUUAUAGGUGGGGCUACACACGUCAUACAAUGGCCGGUACAGAGGGUAGCCAACCCGCGAGGGGGAGCUAAUCCCACAAAGCCGAUCGUAGUCCGGAUCGCAGUCUGCAACUCGACUGCGUGAAGUCGGAAUCGCUAGUAAUCGUGGAUCAGCAUGUCACGGUGAAUACGUUCCCGGGUCUU
rnacentral:rRNA from 1 species